rnacentral:rRNA from 1 species
UUUACGGAGAGUUUGAUCCUGGCUCAGGACGAACGCUGGCGGCGUGCUUAACACAUGCAAGUCGAACGGUGAAGCAGGAGCUUGCUCCUGUGGAUCAGUGGCGAACGGGUGAGUAACACGUGAGCAAUCUGCCCUGGACUCUGGGAUAAGCGUUGGAAACGACGUCUAAUACCGGAUACGAGGCGCGGGGGCAUCCCCAGCGCCUGGAAAGAAUUUCGGUCCAGGAUGAGCUCGCGGCCUAUCAGCUAGUUGGUGAGGUAACGGCCCACCAAGGCGACGACGGGUAGCCGGCCUGAGAGGGUGACCGGCCACACUGGGACUGAGACACGGCCCAGACUCCUACGGGAGGCAGCAGUGGGGAAUAUUGCACAAUGGGCGCAAGCCUGAUGCAGCAACGCCGCGUGAGGGACG